CUCAGGCCUACAGGAAAAGUGCCCAGGUGCCAAUGGUGGUGGACUAGGCUAGGUGGUCCUCAGGCCCCAUUGUUGUGCAUGCAGGGACCCUCCUGGGGCUCUCAGCUGAUCCCAGCCAAGAAGGUGGCCUUGUUUCUCUGUCCUUCCUUGCUUUAGGUAUUGUGGGUUGAAGAUGUUGACGUCCUAAUCUCUGUUACCUCGGAAUGUGACCUUAUUUGGAAAUAGGGUCAUCACAGAUGUAAUUAGUUAAAAGUGAGGUCAUGCUGGGGGAGGGUGGG